UACGGAGGGGACUAGCGUUGUUCGGAAUUACUGGGCGUAAAGCGCACGUAGGCGGAUUUGUAAGUCAGGGGUGAAAUCCCGGGGCUCAACCUCGGAACUGCCUUUGAUACUGCAAAUCUCGAGUCCGGAAGAGGUGAGUGGAAUUCCUAGUGUAGAGGUGAAAUUCGUAGAUAUUAGGAAGAACACCAGUGGCGAAGGCGGCUCACUGGCCCGGAACUGACGCUCAUGAGCGAAAGCGUGGGGAGCGAACAGG
rnacentral:rRNA from 1 species